ACUUACCUAGAUUGGAUCCAAAUUGGUUCACCCUUGGGCUAAGCCUAAUUGGAUUAGGGCUUGACCACAUUAGGGCAUCCCAAUCCUUACUUAAUAAGGAUUAGGGCAACCAUGAAGGAGGGGCUCACGCCCCUCCUCCUUUGAUCCCUUGGUGCGGCAACAAGAGGGGCCGGCGCCCCUCUUGGUAAUACAUCAAGGGCUCCUAACUUGUAGGAGCCCUAGAUGG
rnacentral:lncRNA from 1 species